rnacentral:tRNA from 3 species
UCCGGCGUAGCUCAAUGGUAGAGCGGGUGACUGUUAAUCACUAGGUUACAGGUUCGAGCCCUGUCGCCGGAGCCA